UUUAAAAAGCUUCAGUAGGGAAAAAACUAUUGACUUAUAAUUAAAGAUGAAUGGGGCUCAGCUAAGGGAUUCUUUUCUGGUGUUGAUUCCUUUUCUUCAACUCCUUCCAGCCAGAGACAUUCAGAAUUGAGAGGACCUCAAAGGGAUUCUGAAAGAGAAAUGAAACACGACCUAGAGAAGUAGCUUUCAUGGAAGACAAAGAAGAAGGAAGAGGUGGAGGAUAAAGAGAGGAAGUGGAUGAAGAGAGAAGAAAGAAGGAAGAGAGGAAAAAAGAAGAGGGAAGAGAGAGGGGUAAAAAAAGAAAGAGGAAAAGAAAAGAGAAGAGGGAAAGGCAUAUUAGGGGAAGGAAGGAAAGAAGGAAGGAAGAGUAAAAAGCAGGAAAGUAUUGCAGUUGUUACUAAAUGAGUGACUCAAAGAUGGAGAAUGGAUCAAUUUGUUUAUUGGAAGCAAGGAGGCUGUAAAUUAAGACAAAUCCCUUAUUAUAACAGUUUAGAAUUCUGUGGAUUAGACUUUUAGUGCAUUCUAUACUGGAAGAAUGCAAUAAUUUCUUUAUUAAUAUCUAGGAUAUAUUAAUAGUAGCACACUUCUUAUGAGAAGAGUGUCAUUGGAAAACAUUCACUGUGGGACUCAGGAGGGCUCUGGACUCCUCACUUAUUACAGAAUGUAUACUGGUUUCAUUUUCUUUCAACAAAACCUUCCUCUGAUAGGUUGUGCCCAGGAUACCUGUAAAUAGCGGGUUAGUGCCAACCUAUUCCAUUGUCAGAGGAAGCAGUUUGUCAGGUUUCUGAAUGAAAGACAAGUCAACCGAAUUUUCAUCUCCAAUUACCCAGGAUUUUGGUUCAUCAGAAGCUCCUGGCAAUUAAAUUCUGCAAACAUUUAUUAAGGACCUGUUAUGUGUCUAGCACAGUACUUGGUUUUGUGGAGUAUAUUAUGUUCUAUGAGGGAGGGUUGGAGAAGAGUUGGAAUAUAAAUUGAUUCAGAUAAAUACUGGAUAAUUUAAAGAAGGGGAAAGUACUUCAAAGAAGUGUAAGGAAGGAAGAUAAGAAUUCUGAAACAGAAAUGGGGAAAGAAUAUACUCUAGACAUGGGUGAGGGCUUGUGCAAGUAAAUGGACAGAGGGAGAGAUGGAAUGUAGAAUUUGGGGCAAAGGGUUUGUACCGAUAAAUAGUGAAUGACUACCUCCACUAAAAACAGAGACUAUGGGCCAAAAGGUGGAUCAGUGUAUAGAGUGUCAGUCUUGGAGCCUGGAAGAUCUGGAUUCAAAUCUAGCCUCAGACACUUCCUAGCUGUGUGACCCUGGGGGAAGUCCUAUCUGGUGGAGAGACUUCCGAUUGCUUCAACAUCUCCAAUGGCGUGAAACAAGGCUGUGUCCUCGCUCUGGUACUAUUCAACCUAUACUUCAUCCAAGUAUUACGACAUGCUGUGAUGGAUCUAAAUCUGGGCGUCUACAUCAAAUACUAACUGGAUGGCUCACUAUUCAACCUUCGCCGCCUGACUGCAAAAACAAAGACAACAGAGAGACUCAUCCUGGAAGUUCUCUUCACAUAUGACUGUGCUCUCAUGGCCCACCAAGAAAAUCAUCUCCAAACCAUUGUGGACAGGUUCUCCACCACAACAAAACUGUUUGGCCUGACUAUCAGCCUCAGCAAAACAGAGGUGCUGUUCCAACCUGCACCAGGGAGGCCAACUAACCAGUCAUGCAUUACAAUCGAGGGCACGCAGCUUUCCAGCGUCAACACUUUCAAGUACCUGGGCAGCACCAUCGCCAACGACAGGUCCCUAGACCACGAGAUGAAUGCCAGGAUCCAAAAGGCCAGCCAGGCACUCGGGCGGCUGCGCUCCAAAGUCCUCCAACACAGCGGUGUAAGCACUGCGACGAAGCUCAAAGUGUAUAAUGCAGUGGUCCUCAGCUCGCUCCUGUAUGGCAGUGAGACAUGGACACUGUACCGGAAGCACAUGAAGCAGCUGGAGCAAUUCCACCAACGCUCCCUCCGGUCAAUCAUGAGGAUCUGAUGGCAGUACCGAAUCACCAACCAGGAAGUCCUCGACAGAGCCAACUCCACCAGCAUCGAAGUCAUGGUCCUCAAAGCCCAGCUACGAUGGUCUGGACACGUCAUCCGCAUGGACCCACAGCGAAUACCAAGACAGGUAUUCUAUGGUGAACUGUCAGCUGGACUCAGGAAACAAGGCCGGCCAAAGAAAAGAUUCAAGGAUCAGCUAAAGUCCAACUUGAAGUGGGCUGGCAUGACACCAAAGCAACUAGAACUCGCUGCCUCUGUCAGAAGCAGCUGGAGAACCCACAUUCACCAUGCCGCCACCACCUUUGAAGAUGAGCGACGUCGAGGUCUUGCCACUCUGCGUGAACGCCAACACCAGGCCACAACCGCACCUCCCGUAACAACUGGCGUCCCAGGCCCCAUGUGCCACAAACUGUGCGCCUCAGUCUUUGGACUUCAAAGCCACAUGAGGGUAUAUCAACAGAUGAUAAUGCACAAAGACAAUUGUCAUUCUUGGUCACCAGGAGACUACCACUAAUUAUUAAAAAAAUGAAUAAUAUGGAAAUGGGUUUUGAGAGCUAACAUAUGUAUAACCCAGUGGAAUUGCUUGUCAGAUCCGGGAAGGGGGAGGAAAGAGGAGAGAGAGACAAUAAUAAUCAUAGAACCAUGGAAAAACUUUAAAAAAUAAAAUAAAAUCAAUUUGCAGUGAGAGUUAUCUUGGCGGGAAUUCCCUGCACUGGACUUGGAGGUCCAGACAUUUUUCUUCCUCCAACAAAAGAAGUUGUUCCAGAGAUUCUAUGACUACAAUGUAUAGAACACCAUUGUGGUAUAUUAAAGCCUCCUUUUUAUCACUAGUGACCCAAAGGUCAAGGGAGAAUUAUAUGAUGGGCAUAACCAGGAUACAGCAUGUUGUGUCAGUGAUAUCUAGCAAGAGAUUCAAUAAAAACAAAAGGAAACAAAAACAUCAUGGUCAGAAAAGGUGGUAGUUCAGUCAUAUAGGGUAUAAGGGAAAACCUGAUCAUUACAGCUGUAUUGCUAUCCAUGAAAAAUUAAGAGAGCCUGAAGAACAUCUCUAACAUGCUGGAAUGUUUUAUGGAGAGACACAGGACAAAGAUCAUGCCCUGUAAGAAAUCACGGACUGUGAUUCCCAUCCAUGAGUUCCUGCAUCCCUAGAAACAUCUUCAUGUGGAAGUUCCUCUGCACUCUUGAUUUGUUAAUGGAUUCAUUAUGUCUUUCCUGAGAUGUGAUGGCCAGAACCAAAUUGUACAGUAUUCCAGGAGCUCAGUGGUGUUUGAAAUCUUUCCCAAGGUUUUCUAAGGGCAGACAAGAGCCUCAUUAAGCCCCCAAAGACCUUCCCAGCCAUCAGGUCCUGUGUUACACUGAAGACUGGGGUCCUCCAUCUUCCCACAGCUGGCAGGCCUUCUACCACUAGAGGUCACCAUUAAAGCAGUAUUUCAGAAGCCAGAGCCUUUGGCCAGAGGGAAAAUUGAACAAUAAAAGCCACUUUGCAGCGCUGUGGUUCAGCAGAUGCCUUACGGGUAAUUUAAUGGAGAUGGGUGAGAUUUUAUCAAGGUCCUAAAUUGAAAUUCAUUUCUAAUCUCUACCUCCAAGUCGGAAAAAAAAUCGGCUUCCCUGCCUUGUGACAAGACCUCUAGGGAAGAAUAGACUCUAACUAAGAAGCAGCCUAGGUGACUUCCCAAACUCCGCACAGCUAGCCCUAACUUCUUAGCCAGGCUCUAGUUCUGUUUCCAGUUGCCUGGAGAAGAGUUUUUAGUUGAAGAACCCCAUCUAUGCCUCCAAGUCUCUAAGUUGGAAGCCUAUCGUUCUAUCUUCCCAAUCCCCCCAUCCAAGCCCACUCCCAUUCUCCUGGGUUGUUGUCCAGUCAUUUUCAGUUCUGUCUGACUCUUUGUGAUCCCAUUUGAGAAUUUCUUGGCAAAGAUAUUGGAGUAGUUUGACAUUUCCUUUUCUAGCUAAUUUUAUAGAUGAGGAGACUGAGGCACACAAGGUUAAAUGUGCCUUGUGGGAGGGCAGAGAGUUAUCUUUUUAAAAAACCCUUACCUUUUACUUUAAAAUUAAUACUGGGUUUUGGUUCUAAAGCAGAAGAGUGGUAAGAGCUAGCCAAUGGAGGUUAAGCGACUUGCCCAGGAUCAUAUAGCUAGGACAUGUCUGAGAAUAGAUUUGAAUCCCAGAUUUCCUGACUCCAGGCCUGGUGCUCUAUCCACUAUGCUACCUGGCUGUCUAUUCUCAUGUGGCCCCCUUUAAAUUUGUUGGUUUCAUUGAUGUAGCUCUACUGGCCCAGCUCAACAAGCCUAGCAUUUGGAAUCAUCUUGGAUAUGUAUAGCAAAAUAUUAAUGACUAGAAUGAGUUUUAAAGGAUGCCUACCCCUCCUCUUCUUUUACUUCUAAAUCUAGAAGCACAUUGAUAAUUUGGCCAAAGGGGGAGUUGAUCCUCAGUUGUCAGGUUUUAGAGGCCACAGAGCUCCAUUGUGUAUUUCUUUCUUUCUUUUUUUUAACCCUUACCUUCCAUCUUAGAAUCAAUACUGUGUGUUGGUUCCAAGGCAGAAGAGAUGUAAGGGCUGGCAGUGGGGGUCAAGUGACUUGUCCAGGAAGUGUCUGAGGCCAGACUUGAAUCCAGGACCUUUAACCUCUGGGUCUGGCUCUUAAUCUACUGAGCUACCCAGCUGUCCCCUCAUUGUGCAUUUCUGAUGUAUCAGCUCUUUGAGAACAAAUGUUUCAUUUUUGUCCUUGUUUACCCAGUACCUAGCUCAGUACCUGCCACUCUAUGGGCAAUUAAUAAUUGAUUCAUUUCAAAUGAGACAGAAUGAGACUGACCAAUGGAGGAAUUUGUUUUGCUUGACUUUGAAUAUAUAUUACAUAUUAUGUGCAUAUUAUAUUUUUCCCCAUUGUGGGAGGUGAUGAGGAGAGAAAAUAAAGACUUUUUAAUUAAAAAAAUAAUUUGGAAAGACUUUGGUGGGGGGGGGGGACAGGUGAUUUAUUAAUGAUAAAUAUCAGUAAAAAUUUUUUUUUUUAAUCUAGGGAAGCAAGGUAGUCCAAUGAAUAGAGUACCAGACCUGAAGUUGGGUAGACCUGGGUUCAAUUUUGGUCUUAGAUCCUUCCUAGUUGUAUGACCCAAGUCACUUGACUCCCAUUGCCUAGCCCUUGCUGCUCUUUUGUCUUAGAUUUGAUACUAAAUACUAAAUAAAAAUAAUUUUUAGAAAACACAUCCUACAUUUUCCUUCCUCUAUAUCUUUUCUCAUAUACCCUUCCCUCUUUGCCUUUUAAAUUCCUUCUUGUCCUUUAAAGCCCAACUCAAAUGUGACCUCUUUCAGGAACAUUUCUCCUACAUCCUCUUGUGGGUAACAUCUAUUUCCCCUAUUCACUCUUUUCAACUGUAGCUCUUAGCUCAAAGGACCAUAAAUAAUAAUUCCUCACAUUUAGGGGAGAGGUCUUUAUUGCUGUUACUGUAGGGUUGUACCUGUUCUCAAUCUACUCCAGCCUCUAUCCAAUCAGUAAGUCUUUAAAAUUUAGGUCCCAAAAGGGGGCAGCUGGAUAGCUCAGUGGAUUGAAAGCCAGACCUAGAGACAGGAGGUCCUAGGUUCAAAUUGGCCUCAGACACUGCCUAGCUGUGUGACCCUGGGCAAGUCACUUUACCCCAUUGCCUAGCCCUUACAAUUCUUCUGCCUUGGAACUGAUACACAGUAACCCUGGGCAAGUCACUUGACCUCCAAAAUUAGGUCCAAUGGAGAUCUUUCCCACCCUUCCUGCUACCAUUUUCCAUACUCAAUCUCUUAUCAUCUAAAUGUGAUAGCUUGCUAACUGAUUUCCCUACUACCAGUUGCUUGUCCUUCCAAUCAAUCCUGUACACUAUUUCCAUCUCCUCAAUAAUCUACAAGCUUUAAAUUGCUUCAUGGGUUAAAUUCAGAUUUCUCAAUCUGACACUCAAUGUCUAUUUGUGACAACUUGACUUUAAGAUGUCAGGAGUGGGUAAUGUAUUUCAUCUCAGGCCUCUUGAAUCAAGGUUGAUCAUCAUCACAUUGAUCCAAGCUCUUACAGCUUUCAGAGUUGUGUGUUUUUAUGAUGUUGUAUUCUCCUGGUCCUGCUUGCUUCACUCUGCAUCAGUUAAUAUAAGUCCACCAGAUUUCUCUGAAAUCAUGCUAUUGUUGUUUGGCCCUGACUCAGUCCAGCCUUUUGUAAGUUUAGAUUUGAUAUGGAAACAAAACAGAGAUAUUUGUGUAUUAUUCACCAAUUAACAAAAGGAUAUUUACUUAGCCAUGGUAGGAGAAGAUUCAAAAAGAAGAGGCAUUGAGAAGCCUUUAUUGUUGAUUCAGCUGAGCAAAACUCCCAUCCUGAUCCCACCAGCCAGACAUCAGAGAUCAACCUCCCCGACCCUAUCUUCUUGUGGUUGCUUUGUUUCUAGCAAUGAGGAAGUAUUGUUAACAGUCUCAGCACUUAACCCCUGAGCCAAACAAGUAUUGAGGAAUGUUUCAAUAGGUUUUAAGAGAAAACUUGCCUAACCUGCAUAGGGGAGAGAAGUAAAGAUAUCACUCCUACUUCACGUCCCUUUCAUCAUUUCUUAUGGUGCAAUAAUAUGUCAUGUUCAUAUACAAGAGCUUGUUUAACCAUUCCCCAUUUGAUGGACACCCCUUUAGUUCGCAGGUUUUUGCUACAACAAAAAGUACUGCUAUGAACAUUUUUUGCACUUAUAGGUCUUUUUUCCUUUUCUUUUAUUUCUUUGUGGUAAAUUUAAGUGCUCCCCCCCAAAAAAAAACAACAUUGUAUUCACCAGGUAUGCUGUUUAUAUGUGGGAUGAUGAUGAUGAAAGAGAGAUAGAGAGACAGACACAGAGAGAAAGAGAUAGAGAGAGAUUGAGACAGAGAGAUUGAGAGAGACAGACAGACAGAGAAACAGACAGACAGACAGAGAGACAGAGGCAGAGAUGGAUUGAAAGAGAAAGAGGCAGAGACAGAGCCAUAGAGAGAGAGACAGAGAGAAUGAGAGAGAGAGAGAGAGAGAGAGAGAGAGAGAGAGAGAGAGAGAAGAGGGAUGAUUGUUUACUUUUUGCCCAAUUUUUUUUUGCUUAUAAUUGUGAUUUUAUUGUAUAGGAUAUCCUCCUCAUUGGUGAGGCACCCUAAACCCAAAGUAAGAGAGCAAUUAUUCUAUAACUGAUGCUUGUAGAGAAUUAUCUGGGAACACUGAACACGUACUUGACUUGUCCAGGAUCUUAAACCUAGUUGGUGGCCAAGGUAGAACCCAUGUCUUCUUGACUCCAUAGAGUUAAGAGAGAAGCAAUUUCUCCAUCUAUUUUGCCACCCAGACUCCCUUCCCAAGAGUUUAAGAAGCCUUCAAGAUUUAUAAGGUGGCAUUUGCCAGGCCUGCCUGGUGCCCAACCUGCUAUCUUGAGCUGUGGAAGAGUUGUUGAUCUACAUCAGGAGAUGGUGUUUCCAUACCAAGAUUUCUCUAUACUUGAAAACAAGAAGCAGCAGACCUUCUCUUCUGACCCUGGAACCCUCCACCCCCAGCCCCUACCCCCCACACACAUACACACGGAUAAGUCACAUUCCAGUGAGUCUUUCUUGCUGCAUGGCUGAAUGUCUGGGCUCUUCAGCUGCAUUCAGGUCACAAGAACAGUCAGGCACAUCUGUUUGCAGGAUGCUGUUGCUAGGUACCAGAAUCAGGCUUAUUCUCAGGUCAGAUGGUGGCUACUUUCAUUUUUCAUUUACAUGUAAGACUUUGAUGGCAUAGAAUCCCCUAAAGAUUUGAGACAUUUUCUUUCCCAUUUAAAUUGAAUUCAGGAAAUGAUUGAGAAGGGAGAUCUCCCUUGAUAGUAUUAACUGACAUUUAAUUCAUCUUUAAGAUUUCUUUUUUUUUAAACCCCUACCUUCCAUCUUAGAAUCAGUACUGUAUAUUGGUUCCAAGGCAAAAGAGCUAUAAAGGUAGGCAAUGGGGAUUAAGUGACUUGGCCAGGCUCACACAGUUAAGAAGUGAGCCUGGUUCUCAAUUCACUGAGCCACCUAGCUAUCCCCUGGGUUUUAAGAUUUCUAAAGGACUCUAUAGCUGUUAUUGCAUUUGAGCUUUACGAUAAUUCUGAGAUUUUUAUUGGGGUUAUUUAAUUAAUGGAGGUUAAAUGACUUGCCCAGGGUCAUACAGCUAGAAAGUAGCCAUGGCAAGAGUCAAACACUUGGGGGCAGCUAGGUGGCUCAGUGAAUUGAGAGCCAGAUCCCAAGAGGGAAGGUCCUAGGUUCAAACCUGACCUCAGACACUUCCUAGCUGCGUGACCCUGGGCAAGUCACUUAACUCCCAUUGCCUAGCCCUUACCACUCUUCUGCCCUUGGAACCAAUACACAGUAUUGAUUCCAAGAUGGAAGGUGAGGGCUUUAAAACAAAGAGUCAAACACUUGGUCUUCCUGAUUCCAGGUCCCUGUUUGCUUUAAUUUUCUAUAUGCAAUGGCUUCAAAACAUUCAUGGUCAUCUCAGGAAGGAGGGAAGGAAGUGAGAGAACACAAUUUGAUUUUAUAAUUUCAGAAAACGUAUGUUGAAAAUUGUUAGUACAAAUAAUUGGGAAAAUAAACUAUUUUUUUGAAAAUUUCAUGCUCAGUCAGCUAUAAUAUGUUACCGAGGUGGUAGAAAGCAAUAUAAUUUGAUUGCUGUUAUAAAGCAGGACUGAAAUUAUUCACAGAGUAUGCAGAAAGCUUGGUAAGUAAAGUAAUGGGGAGCUUUAACAGAAUUCGUGCUCAGUCUGGGGCUUUAAGAAAAGGUUUUCAAUACGUAUGAGAUGUGAAUUUCCAUCCUUGGUGUGUGUAUGUAUGUGGUAGGGGUCAGUGCAGAGGUGGGAGCCUGGUUCCAGGGUCAGAAGGGAAGGUCUGCUGCUUCUGGCUUUCAAGUAUAGAGAAAUCCUGGUGUGGAAACACCACCUCCUCAUGUAGAUCAGCAACUCUUCCAGAAUGUGCUCAUCUUAAGGAGUUGAAGAGGAUAUUGAGGAAUGGAGAUUUGAACUCAGAUUUCUAAUUCCAAGGCUGGCUGUCUAUGCACCGUGCCCUGAUUGCCUCUUAAUAAAUCUGGUAAAAAUAAAUACAGAUGCCUUGUAUUAAAGGGUGAUGGUGGUAGUGAGAAGACAAGAAUUCACAUUUGCAAUUGUUUCCUGGCACAGAUCCAUUUUCCCCACUUCCCACAGCAUCGCUUCUCCUUCAAUUCUUUGUCCAUUUUAUUACUUUAGUUAUGAUUAGAGACACAUAUACAGUUUACUAUAGGCAGCAUGGUUUCCUGAUGAGAGAACUGGCCUCAGGACCAGUAAAAAUUCAAGUCUCGCCUCUUGGCACACAAUGGCAGAAUGAUCCUGGGUAAGUCUCUGAAACUUCUGUGCCUUCAACAAUUCUCUAAGACUCCAAGUUGCUGAGAAGAUAUUCACUGGUACAGGCAAUUUCCUCCUCUGGAAAUUCCCUAGAUAUAUGAAAGCACAAGCCUAAUAUCUUUUCCCUAACACUUUAGCCUAUAUAAAUACUCAUUGGAUCUGCAAUGGCAUUAUUUUGGAGAACUACUGAUAGAGAAACAAUGUGAACUGGUAAAGGUUUAACAAUCAUCUCCCUAGGAGGAAAAUGUAUUUAUAAUAGAUUUUUUCAAAACUCUUACCUUCCAUCUUAGAAUUAAUAUUAUGUAUUGGUUCCACAACAGAAGAGUGGUAAGAGGUAGGCAAUGGGGAUUAAGUAAUUUACCAGGUCAGAUUUGAACCCAGGACCUCUUGUACCCCAUGAUACAUAUUUAAGUUUAAUCUUGAUGAUUAACAUUUUCUCUACCACUUCUUCAAGUAUAUACAUACAACAAAACAAUCAUUUAAACCUCAUUUGUAGCAUCUGCCAAUUUCUGCAGUGAAAAUGCUCAUACUGAAAAUGGGAUACCAGCUUAGAAUUAUAUCAGUUUAUUCCCUUAAUAUGUUACUCUAAGAGAAGUGGGUUUUAAGUUCAAGCUACCCGCCCUGGUUGCUAUUCCUAAAUAGAGAAAGCAAAGCCCCCAGCUUUAUAUGGGGCAGCUAGGUAGAUUAGAGUCCUGGGCCCAGAGUCACAGGAAUAUUCCUCUUUCUGAGUUCAAUUCUGGCUUCAGAUACUUAUUAGCUGUGUGAACCUGGACAAGUCACUUAAUCCUGUUUGCCUUGGUUUCCUCAUCUAUAGAAUGAAUGAGAGAAGGAAAUGGUAAACUUCUUCAGUAUCUUUGCCAAGAAAGCCCCAAAUGGGGUCAUGAAGAGUCAAACUCAACUACACAACAAUAAACAAACUUUAUAGCCUAAGUUUGUCCUUUCUACCAGAUGCCAAUUCCACAAUGAAUAAACAUACCAAAAGGAAAGAAACACACUUAUCCAAGUCAUAGCAAGCCCAGAAUAGGGACAUGAUCAAAAUUCUACCUCCUGACUGCAUGUUGACUUCUUUCUCGAAUCUUUCUCUCCUGUCAGUGAUCCCAAGAAAGGCUGGGAUUGUACAUCUUUUUUGGAGGCUCAAGUCAGAAAAACUGAGACCUCUCUUCCUUCCUGCUUUCCCCAACAAGACCUGCCUCUUACUCGGUGCAGGGAAUAUAACAAUAAAUCUCCAGCAGAAAGGAGUCUCAUGCAGUUGAUCCUUUGAGUCAAGAGUUACAAGGAGAAAGAAAGAAAGUGCCUUGUGAAGAGUGAGGACAAAUGGAUGCUCCCCAUAAAAGGAAUCAGGGCAGUGUUUCUCACUGACUGAAGGAGGUCACAUCUGAGCUGGGCUCAAACAAAGAGGGAGAAGGACAUGAUGUGACAUUUCUAUAUGAUGAUCUACUGUGAAAGACCUAACUAUUAUCAGCAAUGCAAGAAUCCAGGCCAACUCCAAGGGACUCAUGAUGAAAAAGGCUCUCCACUGCCAUGGAAGGUACUGACAGAAUCUGAAUGCACACGGAAGCAUUCCAUUCUUCAUUUUUUUUUCCUCCAUGAAUUUUUCUCUAGUGGAAGCACUAUGUGUCUGGUUUUACAUGAUAAACAGGGAAAUAUCACUGUGUGAUAACACAUAUACAACCUAUAUCAUAAUACCUGCCAUCUUGGGAAGAGGUGGGAGAGAAGAAGAGAACAUGGAUUGCAAAAUGUCAGAAAAUGAUUAUUCCAAACUAUAUUGACAAGAAAUCUGGAAGACAAUGUAAAAAUUGUUUUAAAAAGAAAAUUUGAAGUUUUUUUUUCAAAAAAAAAAAUGUUUACUGAUAUCUUUCAUUGAUAUACCACCUGCUUUCUCCUCAGCCUUUCCAAAUUAUUUUUCAAUCGACAAGCCUUUAUGUUCUCUCCUUGCCACUCCCCUGCAAUGGGAAAAAAAAAAGAAAACUCUUGUAACAAAUAUGCAGAGUCAAAACAAAUUACCUCAUUGGCCAUAUCUAAAACAUCUGCCCCAUUUGUCUGUGACUUCUCUGCCAGGAGGUGAUUAGUAUGCUUCUUGGUCAUUCCUCUGAAAUUGUGGUUGAUCAUUGCAUUGAUUAAAGUCCCUAAGUCUUUCAAAAUAGUUUAUUUUCACAUGGUUGUUAUUGUUAUUC